rfam:Polysphondylium pallidum PN500 unplaced genomic scaffold PPL_scaffold9, whole genome shotgun sequence.
ACCAGGGUAUGUAAGCUGGUUAAAGCAGUGUGACUUAAGAUCUCAUCCAUUUGGUUCGUGGGUUCGAAUCCCACCUCUGGUA